AUCAGCGGUUACUGCAGUUGCUUUGUCCUAAUAUUGAUGGAAAUCAGUUCAUUUUAAUUUUUUUUGAGAGAAAGUUGCCAGGCUGCUGUGGAGUCCAAAACCCCCUGGUCUUAGCCCCAGGUAAAAGCUGUCAAGCCGGACUGGAUACAAAGUUUGCAAGCCAUGAGUGGAACUACAAGUGUCCCUAAGACCCAAUGUCACGGCCACCCCUCACCUCCACCCUAUUCAGUUGACCAAAGUCAAUGAGGAAGGGCCAGAAAACAAACUCAAAAUGGGGAGCAGUCACCCCCAGUCACUUGGCCAAAGUGGUAGCUUGAGCCCUGCAGCAGACUACUGACGUGCCAGUGAACAGUGGGUUUCCUGACCCUUCGUCUCUUAGUUAUCUCUUUCUCCCCAUUAUUAGACAUUGGGAGUUGAUCCAGGAAUAUAAAUAUGACCUAUAACUAGCUUCAUUAAUAGCAAAUAGUGCAAAAUCUAGUUUUCAGGUCCAGGCAGAGUUUGGGGAAAUAGGCUCUGUCUUGGGUACUGCCAAACUCAAGUAGGUAGAGUGUUCUGAGCAUGCCCAUAGGAGGACAGGUGCCCUCUUACCUGCUGACACUGACCGUGGGUACAAAACACUUUAUACCAAGCCAACCUAGGUAGGCCCUUGACACCAACGCUGAGCCAUUCAUUGAGGCAGCCGUGUGGGGGACUACCAGUUGAAGCUGAUGAACUGAAGCAGAGUGUAAAUGAGGUUCAUGCUAGAUUUAUAAAGCUUCAGAAUUAAAUGUAACUGUGGCCUGCCAUUCCUAACGUAUCAAAAUGGCCAUGUUCUGAUAUAUCCGGUUACAUAAACUGUUUCUUUAUAAUUAAUUUUAUCUGUUGCUGUUUAAUCUCUUGCCCUGCCUCUAAGGAGCAGGGAGAACAGUGUGCCUCAGGGAUGGUCUCCUCUGGACACUGUCCAGCUGCUAGCGUGGCCACAGAGUUCUUGUUUGAGCAGCCAGUCUUUCUGUCCUGUUUAUCUGCUUGGCCUUUUAUUGUGUUUUGUCUUAUUCUGUUUUCUCAAUGAUGCAUUAAACAAAAUCCUUUGUCUAUUAAGUGCAAAGGAGGAAUACUUUGGUGAGGAGAGAGUUAAAAAGCAGCCCUAACUGGUGUCCUCUAGACUUCCAUAGCACCGUGUCUGUACCUCUGUCCACCAACACUGUAGCGCCUCCACAAUGCUCAUCAGAGAGGGCUUUCCAGCAAGUGAGACAGUCAGCCUCUGUCACUAGAAGCUAUGCCCUGCUGACCAGCCAGGCAAGUAAGGAAGCUCUGUCUAAACACUGGAGCUUAGUAAGUAAAUUAGGUGAUGGCCGGGAGUCCCAAAGGACAUGCCUGUUUCUCCUAUGACCGCAGUGCAGCAUCUUCUAUCUCUCCAUGCUUCUCAAGGAAACAUACAUUUGCAAUGACAUGUUGUAGCGCCAUCUUGUGGUCAUUCCAGUUACCAACAUCCAGCUACUUCCCGGUGGUCCAUACAGCAGUCAUUGUGGCCAAAGCAGGCUCCUGGAGCUGUCUUCAUGUUUCUUUGUCCCCCUUGGUGAGGUUUUUUGAUCCGGAACUGGACCCUCAAAGCAACUGGUCUUUCACAGUUAAAAGGUCACAGGGUCCCUGCCCUCACAACCAUCUCCUUCAGAGGAAGCCACACCAGACUGCUAAGCAUGAAUUUCCGUUUCCAAAAACAAAAUAACAAAGUUUUCAGAGCCUUUAACAAUGUUACAAAGUACAAGCUUUAGAGGCAAAAUCAGUUCUUGGGUGUGAUCAAACCAAGACAAGGCCAAGAUGUGAUCGCUGGCCUCUUCCUGGGGUUUUAUCAACCUGUCUUUGAAAGGCCCUCUGUCCUGUGGGAUAAGGUCCAGUUAUCUCCCAGCCUUUGCAAGUAACUUUGAAAGAGGGUAUAGACCCGCCAUUGUCUAUAUCGGGGAUGAUUUGAGAAGGAAGGGGAGGACCCAGGAAGGAGAGGGCAUUGACCAUGGCCCACUUCCUAUGGCCCUGCAUGAUGAAGCCUGGACUUCAGCCCAUCCCCUCCCUUCCAAGUUGCCGUCUCUACUUUCUACCACUCAAACUCUUGAAUUUUAAAAACAGUAGAGCCUACUCCACUGCCCAUGAAAACACCCUUAUGCCACCAAAGACCUUGGGAAAGCAUGACAUCCCCCACCCCCACCCCCGUGUGCUUCACUAGAGUCGCUCAGCCUCUCACCCUCCUCCCUUCAUGCUCACUGCCAAGGCCCUGCCCAGCCCUGUCCAGCAAAUGACCACAUCACCUGCUUGGCUAAGGAAGGGGGGGUCACACCAAGCCAGAGCUUUGGCCCCCUCUUUUGCACCCCAUCUCUCUAGCACCUCCUCCUGUUUCCACCCUCCUCUACACGUUCUGCCUCCACCAGAUGUAUUUACAGUUUCUCAUUGUCUCCAUCUUUCAUUCUUUUCCAUCUUUAGUUUAGUUCAACUGUAUUUCUGCUGACCUUAAACUGGGCAUCCAGCGCCAUCUUAGGUUGCUAGUGGCCUCUAUCACCUUACACUGAUCAGAGCGAGCUCCUGAACUUAACCCUCAUAGUCUCACAGCUACACUUGCCCUCAGUGAGCCAGGCAGUCACUUCACAGGCCACAUUCCUACUGAGCCAGGCUGCCAUCUUACUCAGGAGUUAUUACUGAUCCAAACAUUCCCUUUGUUAGAUUCUUUGAAGCACGUUCAUCCUUGUGUGUCCAACACGCAGCAGGGGCCUGGGAGCCAAAGAGACAUGAGAUAUUUGCUUCACCCCUUGCAUUUCUAAAUAACUACAUUACCUAUCAAGGAUGGGGGUGGUACACGAAGCUAAAUAAAUCUUGAAUAAAAAUAUACACCUUUGCCAGAAAUCCAGAGUUAUUCAGGAUAAUCCUGUUCUUCAUCUGACGAGAUGGCACUUACUUCCUACUAACACUGACCGGCUGUGGGAAAGCCAUGCAUAUUUUUUUUCCCAUUUUCCUGACAGUGUGAUAGACUGAGCGGAGCCUGCCAACCUGACGCCAGUGCAAAUUAAACUCACAUCUUGAUUGUCUCGGCUACAUUCUAUGUGGUAUAGGAGGGAAAAUGAAUAAAUCAACUCAACCGGUGGACAAACGUCUAUUUGUAAGUGGAUCCACGAAUUUUAAAACUAAUGAAAAUGAAUAAAAACAUAACAUGGGGAAGAGUACUGUGCUUCUGAGCAAUAUCAAGGUGUGAGAAAUUUCACCAAUUUAUCACAUUCAUGAUGAGAAGUCCCCAGAUUCUCUGUGGGACUGCAGAAAAGCCAUUUGAUAAAAGUGCAUAGCGUUUUGUAAUUAGAACACUCUAAGUAGGAAAUAAAUAUGACUUCUCGUGCGGGUAAGAGUCUGUAGCCAGCACCUGUAGGGCAAGCCGGAGACAGAGCAAGGCCUGCUGGGAACAGUGAGGACUAGAAGCAAGAGGUAAAGCGGGUUAUAUCAGAUUUAGUAAAGCCUGUCUAUCAGUUGAGGACUGAUAGACAUGUAGAUACUUUGUAGAUACUUCCCAGUCUUUGCUAUGAAAAAUCCUGUUACAAAGAAAAGGCAUUGUGUGCACAUCAUUUUGAGGGAGUGAAACAGGAAUAUAUUUAAGGUGGGGCAGUGGGAACAGCUGCUUUUCUUUUUUUAAACUUUUUAUUGAUUCUUUGUGAGUUUUAUAUCAUGCACCCCGGUCCCACUCAUCUCCCCAUUUCUUCAUAUCUGCCCUUGGCCCUUACAACUUUCCCCACAAAACACGUAAGCAAGCAAACAAAAGAAAACAAAACAAAAACGCAUAGGAAACAUCUCAUCAUGGAAGCUGUAGGGUGUCACAGCACAUCCCACAUUAUACCCCUCUGUCCACACGUCGUCACUGGCAAAUUUUCAUUGCAAUGAGUCAUUGGUCUGCUUCCAAAACUCUGGCUUCUGUGACACCUCCUUCCAUUUUAUCCUGUUGUUGUCCUGUGUCAUGGAGAUCCUGCAGCUUUGGAACAGCAGGACUGUCCCUUUCACAAGUCUCAACCAUUCACGGGUAGUAUAGAUUUGGGGGUGGGCCAACUCAGAGCCCUGGAUCCUGGCCUGGGUAGUAGCUGAGCCGGUCAGCCACAGGUUCUCGCUUACCUACACCACCAGGGCAAGCUCUCCAGCAUUGCUCUGGUUAGGCCACCCAAUGGUACCAUCAGCAGGAAUCAGGGGCAGCUCUCCUGCUCUUGUGUCCUCAGGGCCAGCUCACCUGCACUCAGGUGCAAGGCAAGCUCCAUUGUGCUGCGCAAUCAAAGUUCAGGGUCCACUCUCCCAAGUGCUGCAGCUUACAAGGGAUUGGGGCAGCUCGUGGGAUGACCUUUUUAAGUCAAAGAGGGCAUGUAUGUGCAAUAUGUAAGUGGUACGGAUUGCUUGCCUGUGUGUGCACCCGCCCACAGUUCUCCAGCAGAGUGCAAAUUGGUGCACAUGGCUCACUGGGUGGUACAACCAUUGACUUCGCCCAUCUGUCUGAUUAAAAAAAACAUCUGUGUAUUUUAAUUGACAUCUGAGCAGUGUGCGUUUACCCAGACAUUUCUGGGUGUUUAUGAGCUGGUGCUGUUUGUGUAAAAAACGCAUUCUUACUCCCUGUUAAGUUUCUAUGGAGUCAUGGAGGCACUUUCUUCCCUCUUGGCUAUUUUUGGUCGUAGGUACUGGGAAGGUCACUUUUCUAUCUUGAAAAGUCACAACUAUUUCUUUUUCCACUUGAUUGUUUUUUCCUCUUGACUGAUACAUGCCAUUUUUCCUUUUGUAUUAAAUGCUCCAAAAAAAUCUGUGCAGCCAAAUUGACUAAUUAACUGUACCUGUUAUGACUUUUGAAGUUUGAGAGCUAUUUAGAAAAAAACAACUCUUUUGUGUUAGUUAAUGAGAAGGAAGCUUUCUCGAGUAUCACACAAUACACACAAAAAAGAGAAGUUAUUUGAAACAACAUAUUUCUAGAUACAAUUACUCUCAUUGGAUGUCUGUGCUUGGUUUUUACAAACUUCUUUUGAUUCAUGAAGAAAACUGAGAUGGGGGCUGGGCAGUGGUGGUGCACACUUUUAAUGUCAGCACACUGGAGGCAGAGGCAGGAGGAUCUCUGUAAGUUGAAGGUCAGCCUGGUCUAUGUAAUGAAUUUCAGGACAGCCAGGGAUACCUUGAGAGACUUCGUGCCAAAACCAGAAAGACAGGGAAGAGGAGGAUAGGAAAUAGUUUACUUCUGAAAUGGAGUAAACUUGUUAAGAAAAGAGAAAUGGGGCUUGUUGGAGCUUUCUAAGAGGG
rnacentral:lncRNA from 1 species